AGCAAUUGGAGGGGCCACAGGAGGAGGAGGUGGAUGAGAACGAUGAGGCGCAGUCAGUGCAUCUCCCACCUAAUCGACGCCGACGCCACGGUCCUCGAGCAAAACAGGGUUUGGCAGUUAAUCCGUGUUACUGGAGAUUGAAGAUUUUUAGCAGGAUUUCUUGGGUCCGGUUAGCUGCCUACAAUCGUUGGUGUUGGAGAAAAAAAUCAACUAGUAGUGUAUUUUCUUUCAAGUCAUGUAACUCACUCUUAAAAAAAUACUUAUAGGGCUUUCUAGAUAUGCUCGUGAUGUUUUGAUAUUAAUGUUUUGAUAUUAAGCUUUGCUUUUUCAAAUCAGAUUAGAUUGUUGGA